rnacentral:lncRNA from 1 species
UACCCAAAAAUAAUGCCUUUUUUAGUAACGUUAGACACAUUCUUUUAUGAAACUCACCGCUUUGGUUUGUGCAGGAGUAAGAAGUCCCAGCAACAUCAUUCCGAGAAGUGUCGCUCGCAAUAUUAGGCAAGAAUCCAUCUUCUCAUCCGCACAAUUCCCACCGGGUCAAAUCGGCAACUAUCUCAAAUCACACGUUAUUCAGGCGACCUGAGAAAGUUGAGGCUCUCCAAAUCUACCUCGGUGCCACCUGCAGCACUGCGACCAUCUCAGAAAUAAAACUUUAACUUGCACUUAAGAAACGGAUUCAAACUCUUUUGGGGCUGUCAAUGAAUCCUCAAGAAUAUCAGACCGGCGGGGGUUCGAAGAAGUGUGUUUGGCCAAUUCUGCAGUACCUGCUUUGUCGUUGAACAGCCCGUGACGUCACGAAACGCAGAGCCGCAGCAGCUGUCGGAUCACUUUAGCCGACUCUCUCGCGCGUUUCUCUUAAAGUGUUCGGCGUGCACCUUCUCUUUAUGGUAUUGUAUUUUACGUGUUAAUGUAGAGCCGCGGUGGUGGCGCAGGAAACUACGGGAUCAGGUGGAUGAGUUGUCAGUGGGGACGUCAGGAGCCAUAGCUACAUCACUGACCACACCAUUCUGAGGCAGUGGAUAUAUAUAUAUCAACAGGUAGCACAUGCCCUGAGUGGUGGCUGAGAUGACACGCACCCGCCAGAUCACCUCAACCAGCCUCCUUCUCUUCAGGAGGCUUUUAUUGGCACUUAUGACGAUACACACAGCUUUGGGGGGAGACAAGACAGAAAGGUGCGAUGGUCGAGACUGCAGGGUCUGCCAGUGUUUCCCCCCCAAAGGAGAGAGGGUAAGUCCAUUACAUCAUUUUGACUUUGUUGACAUUAUGGCAUCAUAGUC